AUUGAACGCUGGCGGCAGGCCUAACACAUGCAAGUCGAACGAGUGGCGGACGGGUGAGUAAUGUCUGGGAAACUGCCUGAUGGAGGGUGAUAACUACUGGAACCGGUAGCUACUACCGCAUACCAUCAGAUGUGCCCAGAUGGGAUUGGCUUGUUGGUGGGGUAACGGCUCACCAAGGCGACGAUCCCUAGCUGGUCUGAGAGGAUGACCAGCAACACUGGAACAGAGACACGAGCAGGACUCCUACGGGAGGAAGCAGUGGGGAAUAUUGCACAAGGGGAGCAAGCCUGAUGCAGCCAUGCCGCGUGUAUGAAGAAGGCCUUCGGGUUGUAAAGUACUUUCAGCGGGGAGGCGUUACCCGCAGAAGAAGCACCGGCUGACUCCGUGCCAGCAGCCGCGGUAAUUC
rnacentral:rRNA from 1 species